GGGAUGAGAUGUCUUGGCAAACCCAAUUGCCCAGUGCAAGAAUGUUUUCCUGAACAGUGAAGAAACUGUCACUAGAAAAGCUUUGGUUCCGUUGUGAAGAGAAUAAGUGCUGUGAUGUUCCCGUCCCUGCUGCAAGGGCAGGGCUAAGGCUGUGUCAUGGUCGAGCUCCGUUUUCUGGCUUUUGUGGUUUUCUGACUUUGUUGUAGUAGGAAUUUUUUUCCUCUGAGUUAGGGAGAAGCCAUUUUCUCAGACUUAGAGGUUUUUGUUCAGUGUUUGAGUUAGGGCAUUGGCACACGAAGGUGUUGAGACCAUUCCCAGCAUUGCUAUUUUUGGAGAUUGUUUUCCUCCAAAUGCAUCCCGCUUGGCUGUCUCCUACAGUGACUAGUGGAGCUUUGUGCAAAGUCUCUUAAAAUAGGAUAUUAGUUUGACAAGGAGAUAAAUUCUUAGCAGCAGAUUACAGCUGUGUUGCUCCCAUUUGUGAGCAGCCCCUUGCAUAAGUUGUUCAAUGGAUGUAAAAGAAACUGUCUUGGAAGUACGAGCUUCUUGAACUUGACUUUGGAGAAUGAGAAAGGUAGGAACACAUUUGCUUACAGGAAGAUACACCAGAACGUCUGAGAUGUUAGGAGCUGAAAUUUCUUCUUGUUGUGGCUUUCCUCUCUGUCUAGCAGUUACACUGCUGCGUCGCGCUUUCUGGUUCCAAUUUGCAUGGAAAUAAUUACCAUUGUUUAUCUGAGAGACGGCAUUUUGCAGAUGAAUUGGUUCCACAGAGCCCUCUUCUGCCCUGGCGGUGGGUGUUCUCACACAGCAUGCUGUGUGACAUCUAAUUGAACGGGCUGAUGGCGUGAGAUCCUCCUUGUGAAGGAAAGGUCAUUGGAAUGGUGAAGUGCUGGGGCACCAGGAGGAGCCACGCAAGAUCAGCCAGCAGCGCUUCCGGGUCCGCUUCCCUCUCUGGAUCCUGGACAGUUUGGUUUGAGCUGGGGGUGCGCCCAAGCAAAGCAUAUGGCAACACAACGGCGUCAGCAAGGAACACGGAGAGGAGAGGAGAGGAGAGGAGCGGAGGCAGCUCCGGGCGUGCUGCGUGCCUGUGUUCACCAGCAAGGGGGUGGUGGGGAUGAGAGAAGCACUCCCACAGGCUCCCACUCAGGGAGAAGAGCAGGAAACCUGCUUUAAAACGAACGAGUAAGAAGCUCAGCAGUUUUGAGGUGGAGUGGACCCGGGAGCUCUCCCCCAGCUGUGUGGCACAGCCUGAUGUUUUGUGUUCUCACAGGCAGUUGGGAAACUUGCUGCCAGUUUCCAGUCUAAACAUACCCACUUUUGAUUUGUAUCCGUCUGAUCUUCUGCUAAUACCAUCUUGUGGCAGAUAGUUCUUUUCCCUCAUACACCCAUGGAUGUAUUUAUAGAGUCGUCACGUAAAGCAAACACCCUGUGCUCUGUUAGCAAAGCUCCUUCCGCCUCUUUUUAUGCGAUAGAUCCUCUUCAGCAGCCUUUCCUUCCACCUGCACCUGCUUAGAUUUUCUGAUGCAGAUCAGGUUCACAGCUUUUAUGGCUUUGGUGGUUAAACCGUUGUUUCCCACAGCUAGUGCAUGGUGAAACCAGUCCCUGGGUUUGGGUCACGGAAAGGCUCAUGACACCCAUGGAGCAUGUGUACAGUGGGUGCCCUGUGCUUUUCCAGAGCAAGGUGUGUGGGGUGAAAAGCCACGAUCUCUGUUAACCCUGGAGCACUGUGUCCUGCAGCAAAUCCUCUGGCAUCCGUCCCCUACUGCACUUUUGGCUCUCUGCCUUGCUCUGUUCAGCAAGUCCAAGCUGGAAAUUAAGGCUGGCCGCCAGCAGGGACACCCGAGCUGCUGAGUGAGCUGCUGGGAGGGAAAUCAAGCCGCAUGGUUUAGGGGCAGAUUCUUCUCUUAAGGCUCAUUAUUUUCAUUUUUCCAG
ensembl:lncRNA